rnacentral:lncRNA from 1 species
UGAACUGUAUAAUCGUGGUAGUUCAACAAAAUAAAUGUUGUUUAAAAAUUCCCAAUAAUGAUCAAAUGGUGUACGCAAAGGCUUUGAUUGUUUUUAUUUGACUUUUGUUUAUCUUUCAGCUUAUUUUGAUUUAUGACAUAAGCACGUACGUAAAUCACCACGGAUAUUGCAAACACGUUCAGUCCGUAUAUAUAUUGACAUAUUGGACUCGGGCCAUAAAUUAAAAGAUCAGUACAGAAAAUUAAACAAUUAUCACCUAAUUGUAAAGUUUUGUAAUCAAAAUAUCCCCGUCACAAGUUUCAAAAAAAAAAACCCCCAUCACGGAUCACCAUUGAUGGAAAAUGCAAUGAAAUGUGGACAAGGGAGUAGGAAAAUCUAGAAAAAUUGAUGGAGGAAAAAAGGAAAGAGAGAAAAUGAACUUUAUUUAUCAAUAUUAGAAAGAAAAAUAGAAAGUUGGAGAAAAAAAGAAAGAAAUAAUGGGACUUUUAUGGUUUUUAGCCAAAAAAAGAAAAAAAAAAUGUGGACACAUACAUAAUGAGAUGUGAUAGUCCGCAAUGAUGAUGUUUAUCACAAAGUCACAACCAGAUUAUGGUAGCGAUCACAUAAUUAGCAGUGUCGUUUACUCUUUAAUACUAGUAUUCUUAUAACCAUAUUAUAAAUAAAGAUUAUAACAUUCAUGAUGAAAAAUAAUCUCGUACGAUGCUUAAAAUUACAUCAAAUGAUUUCUCAAAACAAUUCACAACAAACAAUUUUAUAUCUACA